CAGCAGUAGGGAAUCUUCCACAAUGGGCGCAAGCCUGAUGGAGCAACGCCGCGUGAGUGAAGAAGGGUUUCGGCUCGUAAAGCUCUGUUGUUAAAGAAGAACACGUAUGAGAGUAACUGUUCAUACGUUGACGGUAUUUAACCAGAAAGUCACGGCUAACUACGUGCCAGCAGCCGCGGUAAUACGUAGGUGGCAAGCGUUAUCCGGAUUUAUUGGGCGUAAAGAGAGUGCAGGCGGUUUUCUAAGUCUGAUGUGAAAGCCUUCGGCCUAACCGGAGAAGUGCAUCGGAAACUGGAUAACUUGAGUGCAGAAGAGGGUAGUGGAACUCCAUGUGUAGCGGUGGAAUGCGUAGAUAUAUGGAAGAACACCAGUGGCGAAGGCGGCUACCUGGUCUGCAACUGACGCUGAGACUCGAAAGCAUGGGUAGCGAACAGGAUUAGAUACCCUGGUAG
rnacentral:rRNA from 1 species